rnacentral:rRNA from 1 species
AUGGAAACAGAUGGCACCAGGAGGCUGCUAGUGGAGGCAGGGCCACGCCGAGGUCGAAGGUGGCCGGGCGAGCUCGCCGGAGGUAGUCCGCGGUCAGACGAAGCAGCAGCAAGGCAAGGCAGCACGCACGAACUGCAGGCCAGCACGGUGGCCUCCAUGGCCGGCGGCCAUGUGGCUCGCGUGAGGCAAGGCGGGAGAGCAAAGGACAGUCACGGGCAGAGGAACGAUGCAGCAGAGGGGAGGCGUCACACGGAGGAGAGUCGACGGGGUGGCGCUCACUGGAGUCGGGGCCGAAGGGGACGGGUCGAGGGGCUCCUCCCCUGGUGA